rnacentral:lncRNA from 1 species
CCCUGGCAAAUACAAUUCAAUCAUGGCAACUUAACUGACUUCAUGAUCGAUGACCAUUGGCAUAUCAGAGUUACCGACUGAUGAUCGUUCAGAUUUCUACAAUUGCCGACAUACAGUUGACACACUCAAAUUAUCGAUGUAUAGUCGGUAUACUGAAAACCGCCAGUGCAGAAAGUGCAUAAUGGUCACAUACCAUGAUCGGU